rnacentral:rRNA from 1 species
UACGGAGGGGGCUAGCGUUGUUCGGAAUUACUGGGCGUAAAGCGCACGUAGGCGGCUUUGCAAGUCAGAGGUGAAAGCCCGGAGCUUAACUCCGGAGGGUCGGUGGAUACUGCCAGUCUUGAAGGUGCUAGGGGGAGAUGGAAUUACCGGUGUAGCGGUGAAAUGCGUAGAUAUCGGUAGGAACACCAGUGGCGAAGGCGGUCUCCUGGGGCAUUCUUGACGCUGAGGCGCGAAAGCUGGGGGAGCAAACGGG